rnacentral:rRNA from 1 species
GGAAUAUUGGACAAUGGGCGAAAGCCUGAUCCAGCAAUGCCGCGUGAGUGAUGAAGGCCUUAGGGUUGUAAAGCUCUUUUACCAGGGAUGAUAAUGACAGUACCUGGAGAAUAAGCUCCGGCUAACUCCGUGCCAGCAGCCGCGGUAAUACGGAGGGAGCUAGCGUUGUUCGGAAUUACUGGGCGUAAAGGGCUCGUAGGCGGCCAACUAAGUCAUACGUGAAAUCCCUCAGCUUAACUGGGGAACUGCGUGUGAUACUGGAUGGCUUGGAUUUGGGAGAGGGAUGCGGAAUUCCAGGUGUAGCGGUGAAAUGCGUAGAUAUCUGGAGGAACACCGGUGGCGAAGGCGGCAUCCUGGACCAAUAUUGACGCUGAGGAGCGAAAGCUAGGGGAGCAAAC